UACAGCUAUAUCAAGUCGAAACACCGGUUCUCGUCAGAUCAGCGGAGUUAAGCAACGUCGAGCCUGGUCAGUAUCUAGAUAGAUGACCGCCUGGGAUACCAGAUACUGUAAG